rnacentral:rRNA from 1 species
GACGAACGCUGGCGGCGUGCUUAACACAUGCAAGUCGAACGGAAAGGCCCCUUUGGGGGUACUCGAGUGGCGAACGGGGGAGUAACACGUGAGUAACCUGCCCUUGACUUCGGGAUAACUUCAGGAAACUGGGGCUAAUACCGGAUAGGAAUCCUUGCUGCAUGGUGGGGGUUGGAAAGCUUCGGCGGUUUUGGAUGGACUCGCGGCGUAUCAGCUUGUUGGUGGGGUAGUGGCUUACCAAGGCUUUGUCGGGUAGCCGGCCUGAGAGGGCGACCGGCCACAUUGGGACUGAGAUACGGCCGAGACUCCUACGGGAGGCAGCAGUGGGGAAGAUUGCACAAUGGGCGGAAGCCUGAUGCAGCAACGCCGCGUGCGGGAUGACGGCCUUCGGGUUGUAAACCGCAUUCAGCAGGAGCGAAGCUUGUGGUGACGGUACCUGCAGAAGAAGCACCGGCUAACUACGUG